rnacentral:rRNA from 1 species
CCUUUGACGUUAGCGGCGGACGGGUGAGUAACACGUGGGUAACCUACCUAUAAGACUGGGAUAACUUCGGGAAACCGGAGCUAAUACCGGAUAAUAUUUCGAACCGCAUGGUUCGAUAGUGAAAGAUGGUUUUGCUAUCACUUAUAGAUGGACCCGCGCCGUAUUAGCUAGUUGGUAAGGUAACGGCUUACCAAGGCGACGAUACGUAGCCGACCUUAGAGGGUGAUCGGCCACACUGGAACUGAGACACGGUCCAGACUCCUACGGGAGGCAGCAGGC